rnacentral:rRNA from 1 species
GACAGAGGGUGCAAACGUUGUUCGGAAUUACUGGGCGUAAAGCGCGUGUAGGCUGCUUCGCAAGUCGGGUGUGAAAACUCCAGGCUCAACCUGGAGACGCCACCCGAUACUGCCAUGGCUUGAGUCCGGUAGGGGACCACGGAAUUCCUGGUGUAGCGGUGAAAUGCGCAGAUAUCAGGAGGAACACCGGUGGCGAAGGCGGCGGUCUGGGCCGGUACUGACGCUGAUGCACGAAAGCGUGGGGAGCAAACAGG